GCCCAGCUACCUCAAUCGACAGAGCAUGAGACUCUUAAUCUCGGGGUCAUGGGUUNGAACCCCAUGUUGGGUG
rnacentral:tRNA from 1 species